UUUGCAAUCUCCCAGACUUGAAAAGGACUAUAUAAAAAAGACACUGAAAUAGUUUGGUACAUCGAAUUCAGAUAGAAAAAGGGAUUUUAUAACUUUUCAUCUUUUAUCUCUUAAUGAUGGAUUCAAAGGAAAAGAGGAUGGAUGUCGGACGGAUCGUAUCAAUUUCCCUGAUUUUAAUAGUUUUUUUUACAGUUGCGUCAUCUUCAACAACUGCUCCACCUACAACUGCUGCACCCACA